AUAACGACUCUCGGCAACGGAUAUCUCGGCUCUCGCAUCGAUGAAGAACGUAGCGAAAUGCGAUACUUGGUGUGAAUUGCAGAAUCCCGCGAAUCAUCGAGUCUUUGAACGCAAGUUGCGCCCGAAGCCAUUGGUCGAGGCACGUCUGCCUGGGUGUCACGCA
rnacentral:rRNA from 1 species